rnacentral:lncRNA from 1 species
UGGCUUAGGAGUCAUAUUAUAUUAAUAUGUCCUUAUAGUUUACAUGACCGACGACCUAAACAACAGUGGUUCACAAGCAACACACGGGGCUUUGGGCACAAAAGUGAAGGCGGAGGAACAAUCAAUCAUCUCUCGUGAAAAGGAGGUUCUGCCAAAAUGAUUUUCUAUCAGUGAGUAACCGACUCAUCUCUCCCAUCUUCCUCCAACUCGCUUAUCCCGCAGAAAUGGUGUGGCUCCAGAGAAGAUGAAGAAGUGGCACCGGCGCCAUGGCCGUCCGAGCAUUUUCCAGCCAAAGUGUGGCAAUGGCACAACAAAGCAGCCGACGUUGACCUGAUCUUCGCUAUCCGGACCACCAGUUGCUCCCUCAUCUCUUGCAGGAGCGCACCUCAGCUAUCUUAGGUCCUUUUGUUCAUCGACGCGGAGGAACGGCGGGCUUAGCCCCAUGCUGGCUGCUUCUGUGGAUUAUGCGCCGCUGCUCGCUGCUUUCCAUCCUGCUGGCACGUAUCCGAUAAUGCAAUGGCACACAAAAUUCCCAGAGAUUGGGAGAAUAGAAGCUAGGUGUAAUGAGAAUUAUCAAACUGAAACCACCAACGAGAGCACACCUGAGUCUGUUGGCGCGGUCUCACUCAUCUUGGUGGUGUCCUCCUUUCGUCAGCUACCGCCUUUCUUGCCAAGCCUGUCAUAGAAUGAGUUGUCAAUAAUCAAGCUGCACUCCAAUUUCCAUCAUCGCUAAAGCUAUCACAAGAGAAAGUAGUCUGAGAACCAUUCCAAUGCUACUCAAGAAGCAUAACUAAAGUGCUAAACAUGCCAAAAUUUCUGCAGGUACAGCCAAACCAAAAACCAAAAAAAUUCAGCAUCUCGUACCACACAAAGUCCAGGAAUACACAGAACAAUAAACCUAUGCACACUUUGAAUAUUUUUAUGAAGUACUGGAUUUGAAGUAUGAAACUUUAUAAGCCACAUCUGCACCGACCGGUCUCAGUAAAUCCACACAAAACAAGACUAAGAAAGAGUACUUCGGCUGACUUUUACAGCAUGCAACUCCAUUAGCCAUGAAAUCUUGUGAAGCCUGUUUUGAUGAUGGAAAAUAUACACAAAUAUGAAAACAAAAGAGAUUUAUGAAAGAAAAGAAAGGAACCAUCUUAAAUGAAGAAACCUUAAGUUUUGCCCUCCCUGAACCCAACAUGUACAUACGAACAAACAUGUGCCACUGCCACCAUACCCCCACUUCAUCAAACCACGUGCUAACUGAUACAUGGUCAUGCUAAUUUCACUUAGUUAUUUGAUGUCCAUGUCUAAUUGACUAAAGAAAGGACUCUACUCACAAGUCAAAAUGUAUAUUUCAUAAUAGAGUUGUAUAUAUAUAUAUUAGUGAUAUCUUUGAAUUACUUGAACUAUUUACAUAUCUUUUAGAUAUUACAGUAUGUUUUCUUCCCACAACCUCAAGCAUAUGAAAACUCACUUAAAGAACGAAGAAUGUUAAUAGUUCCGAAAGGAGAAGACCUACAUAAGUAUUCUAUGAAAAUACAUUGUGAUGUUGUCCCCUAGAGGAGAGGUCUCCACAUUUGAGCCCCAAACCUGCAUGGCAAUGUGAAAUAGUUGAAAAUUAACAAAAUCAGGAAAUGAAGAGAAAUCUGGAAACAAGGGCAUCCAAUUUAGAAUAGUCAUCCAUACGAGGCAUGGGUAAGUUCAGUGCACUUGGCCUCGGUUGGUAUAACCUCUUCUUCAAGCAUACAAUUAUCCUGCUGUAAUAGCUACAUGAAGCACAACUCUCCUGGCAAAACAAAGUAAAAAAUUUAUGACCAACUGUAAUGGAAAAUAUAAAAAUGCUGAUCUUGCCCUUCUGAUCGCCCUGAAAAGGGGGACGAGGAAGAAGAGGAUGCAUAUGAAAGGUGAAAUAGAUGAUAUGUCAGUCACUGACCUGGUAUGUUGUCACACCCUAGCUAGUCAUGCAUUAGAGUGUUGCAUCAUGUUUACUCUUUCAUCAGAAACCUGAAAUGGGGAUGACAGAACCCCCAGUCCCCUCUGAAACCAAUUAGGGUUUACUAAAAACUUUUUCAAUGAACCUGAAAUGCCCUUCUAAAAUGCCCAUCAUUUUUGUCUUGGUUCAGAACCUCUGCCAAAAGUGGUGCACAUUUUCCUAGGCCAUCCUAGGGUUUUUGAAUUAAAUCAUAAGUAUUUGAAUUUGGGCAUUUAAAAUUAUAUAAAAUAUUUAAAUGCUCAAAUAACUCUAAACUAAAAUGUUUCAUGUUGGAAAUAAUCCAACUAUGGUCCAGGAAUAGUUUGGUGAUUUUUGGAGUUGCCUAAGUAUUUUAUUUAAUUCAACAAAGUUGCAGAAGUAUUUAAAAAAUAGAAAACAGAAAGAAAUGGGAAAAGCUUACCUGGCGCCCAGCACCGGGCCCACCUGCCGGCCCAGCCCAGCACCGCGCCAGCGAGCUGCUUGCCGGCCAGGCAGGCAGGCAGGUGCUCGACGACGAGCACCGCAUGGGUGCCACGCACCUGCUCGCCGCCUCCCUCGCCCGGCUAACGCCGUGAAUCGGCCUCCCUCUCUCCCCCGAACCUCCCAGACACCCCCUCCCCUCUCCAGCUCCUCUCCCUCGCUCUCCCACGCCAUGGCCGACGCCAUCGCCGCCACCCCCUCGCCGUAGCCACGCCCUCCGUCAACCCCACGCCGUGCCGCCGUGUCCAGGAGCUCCGCCGCCGUCCACUUCAUCAAGCUAGCCGAGCCCCGUGUGCUCGUGCGGCCCGAGACCACCGCACCGACCUCGCCCGAGCUCGCCGUCGCCGGAGAUCCCCUUCAACGCCGUCGCCGCCUCAGCUCGUCCCCGACCCCGCCGGUGGCCUCUACGGAAGCGAUGUGAGCCUAGCUACCCCUCCGACCCUCCCUCUCUCUUUCCCGAGCCGUGUAGCCACCGCACGAAGCUCACACGCACGCACCGCCGCGGAUCUCGUCGCCGACGUGCUCCCGGCCAUCCUCCGGCCAACCCGCGGUGUCCAACGCCACUCACAACGCUGCGUCGGGCCCAACCGUGCACUCCCCGCACCUCACCGAUCCCCCUAGCGACAAGUUCGACUUUGGCCGAACUCCGGUGGCCACCAAAGUCGUCGCCGGCGCCAACUCCGGCCACCCCGACCCCAACGGACUCCACCAAGAGCUGCGGCUCGACCUCAGCUCCUCUCCGGUGGCCUCCGCGACUCAUUUGGUUGCCGGAACGGCAAAAAUCACUUCCGCCGCCGCGUCGGGCUCGCCGGCGGCUAAACGCCGGUGCAGCCGACCCGGGUUUGACCACGGGUGGGCCCUGGUUGACUCCCCUGAGUCAAUGACAGGUGGGGCCCAGCCCUGUUAAUUAAACAGGUUUAGUUUUAAUUAAACUUUAAUUAAUUAAUCACCCUGACACGCGGGACCCACUGUCAGGUUUGACCUGGACCUGUUCCGUUGACCUGCUGACGUCAGGCUGACGCAAUAAAUGAUUUUCUGGAAUUAUUCUAAUAUAGGAAAUUCCAGAAUAUAUUUUAAACUUCAAAAAUUCAUAACUUUUAUUCUGUAAUUCCAAAUCAGACAAAUUAUAUAUGAAAAAUGAUCAGAAAAAUCCAAUCUAUCCAUCUGUACUAUUUUCAUGCAUGACUAAACAAGUUAACUUGGUGUUUAAUGCAGAACAAGGAAAAACAUUUCAAAGGGCCAUGUUUGAGUUUGAAAUUUGAAUCUUUGAUUCAAAUUGGUUCAAACCCUUCUGGUCUUAGUUGCAUUAGCCCAACACACUCAUAUUGCUAUGUUUCAUGCAUGCAUCAUAUUGUUGCACAUUGUUUGGUGAUGGUUGUGUAUCAGUGUUUUUUACGGCAGGAUCUGCCUCCGAGGAGUACCGUGAUUACCCUAACGAAGAACCGUAUCAGUGCAUCGAACCAUCAGGCAAGCAACCAACCAUUUGAUCAUAUCGAUACAAUCCCAUGUUCUCGCUCCUGCUCUCUUUUACUGCAUUAAGGCAACGCGUUUCAAACUGCUGUGUGCUAUGGUAGUUGAACCCACUUUCUCUGCAUGACCUGUCAUUGCCACAGUAACUAGAUGAAACCCACUAGCAUGUGUAGGAGUUGAUUGAGCCACAUGUAUGUGUUGUUCCUACCUUGCUAUGCCUGCUAUGCUUAGAGUCGUGUCAGGUCUGGUUCAUCUGGGUGAUGGGCUAGAGUGAAAUGAUUAUGUCGGUAAUGAAAGUGGUGUGGUGAACACGUUUUGGUAAAGGUAUCGAUGAGAGGCCAUGUAGGAGUACAUGGUGGGUUGUUUCAUUGAAGCCGACCUUAAGCACUGAGAUCUGUAUGUGUGAUUUAAGAAUCAGCUACUACCAUGCAUUGGGCCCGAAACCAAUGGACCCUCUCGGCUUCUUAUUCACCCUAGUUCUCCGUCCAGGAGUUGCAAGUAGUUUCUGGUGUUUGUAGCCUACUGGAGGCCGUGGACAGCGCUGACCGUAGGGGUGGGCUGUGAUGCGGUAGGUACGUGGCCGGGUGUACCGAAUACCCGUUAGGUAUCUCGGGAACCCUGUUCACAUCGUUCGGGGCCGUAUGGGAAACCUCGGCCGGACUCCCUGCGGAUGGAACCUGGAUAGGCGAUAAACCUGGACUGGAGGCUUAGGUGAUUAGGUAGGUCGUGGCCGACACCCACGUUGGGCUUCCGCUUGAAGGUUGCCGAGUACAUGUCGUGUAAACGACGGUAAGAGGUGAGAGCGUGUAUGAAGAAGUACACCCCUGCAGGGUUAUCAUGAUCUAUUCGAAUAGCCGCGUCCGCGGUAAAGGACUACUUGGUUGCCUAUACAGUUCAUAGACAAGUAAAUGGAAACUACUAAAAGCCUCAAGAUAAGUGUGAGUGCCGAGGAUGGCUCUUCCGUAGGGAGACGGAGGUGGAUCCUCGGUAGUGUAUUGAAGUGGUGAGUAAUGGACUCGUGUGCGCAAAACCAUUUCAAAUUGGAGUCUCGUAGGUUAGCCUAGCCAAGAGUCAAAGCUGGCUUGCUGCAAUAACCCCACCAACCCUUCUUGAUAAUAUGCAUGUAUGUAGGUUCUGAUGUAAGUCUUGCUGAGUACCUUUGUACUCAUGUUGCUAUAAUUUACAUUUUACAGAAGACGCUGCAACCCCUUCUGAUGGGUUCUACGUAGAUGUUGACAUCAACGAGUAGGCUAAAGGCCCAGGUGGUGAUCCUGAGCUUGAGAAGGACCACGUAGUAUAGCUAGGCUUUCCAAGCCUCUUUUAUCUUUCUAGUUGUCUGUACUCAGACAAGUUACUUCCGCUGCUGGUUUGUAUGACUGUAUGACUUAAAUGCUGGGUCGUGAGACCCGUACCUUUGUGUAUGUUAUGUAUGGCUCUCUGAGCCUUAAAUAAAGUACUUGUGUCAUAGAGUCAUGUUGUGAUGCCUUGUUGUAUUUGCACAUAUCGAGCAUAUUGUGUGUAUGAUUGAAAUGCUUGGUAUGUGUGGGAUCUGACUAUCUAGUUGUUUAUCUUUAGUAGCCUCUCUUACCGGGAAAUGUCUCCUAGUGUUACCGCUGAGCCAUGGUAGCUUGCUACUGCUCUGGAACACUUAGGCUGGCCGGCAUGUGUCCUUCUUCGUUCCUGUGUCUGUCCCUUCGGGGAAAUGUCACGCAUUGAGUACCGGAGUCCUGUUAGCCCGCUACAGCCCGGUUUACCGGAGUCCUGCUAGCCCAGCGCUACAGCCCGGACCCACUUGUUGUUGAUCGACACGUUCGAAGCUGGGUCAUGGAUGCCUGUCCCUGUAAGUCUGUGCCACUUUGGGUUUACGACUAGUCAUGUCAGCCCGGGCUCCUUAUCAUAUGGAUGCUAGCGACACUAUCAUAUACGUGAGCCAAAAGGCGCAAACGGUCCCGGGCAAAGGUAAGGCGACACCCGUGGGGAUACCGUGCGUGAGGCCGCAAAGUGAUAUGAGGUGUUACAGGCUAGAUCAAUGUGACAUCGAGUCGGGGUCCUGACAUAUGUGUCGCGGUAUAUCUCUAUGGUUGCGGUCUGCACGAGCAUGUUGUUGUGCAGGCUUGUUGUCAGCAGAAGAACCUGAGGAAAACUGGUUGUAGAUCUCUCCUAUGUCAUCUGCCCCCUUUGGCAAAAAAUUGUUAGGCAGUAUGCAAUAAUAUAACAUGAUAGAAGAUGAUGCUAAAAAGGCAUGCCACGAUGUAUGUAUCCAGUAAUAUAGAGGGAUUGCCCACUAACAGAAUUAAAUUGAUUCUGCAACAGUUUGUUUGUAAACGAAAUAAAGCAUGCUAUGCUAUCUUCAUGGAUAAAUGGAGAACUUUUGAAUGCACCAGGUCUUUUAGCGACAAAACUAACCUGAGUAGGAUGUACCUGAGGCUCGUUAUUAGUAGAGGAUUCUUCACCCGGGGAAAGCUGGUUACAUUUUUUAUUCGAUAUAUCCAUUGUUCCUCAUUGUAACAGAAGCUCGAAGUGGAAAACAAAAUAUGUCAGGCACUCAAUCUGGAUAGAGCACAAAUCCAGCAUGCAUGUGGUAGCACGUAUCUAAAAGUAUCAAGAAAGCAACUUCGUUGACCUACAUGGCUACAUAUGCUCAAGUGUUGUUCUUUUCAAAGCAUGCUAACCCACUAUUUUGUCAGUUCAGGUGAUCUAUUGCAGUAACCAAGGAAGUAAAUGCAAAUAAAAGUUUUAGGCCUUAAUAUGCACACCAUUUCUUAAGAUCUGGUCAUAGCAAAUACUUGAGAAAAUAUAUACAGUAUAUCUAUGUUGUGCAAAUCUAGUGAGAAAAUUCUACAUUUUGAUGCAAGGGAUAAAUAACACCGGUGCUAUAGAUACAGCUUCUCGACUUAUUUACAACUGAUGUUGAAAGUCAAGGAUACGAUGAUAUCUCAGAAAAUCAGCAUAUGACUAUGCCAACGUCAUACAUGCCCACACACAACUUCUGGGCGCCUCCAUGUGAGCAUGCUUCCCUCAAUAAAAAAAGUGAUCAUGUUGUUCAAUCAAAGAGCAGUACCUCCUCGAAUGCCUUGAGAGCUGAUUGGAUGUCCAUUAGCUGCUCCACGUUUUGUUGUAUUGCCUUGUUAAAUUUGCUCUUGCUCCGAGGGAACUGUAUGACCAACACAGUUAAAUUGAUUCAGAAAAGAAGAGAGUUAAAUCAGGAGUGAAUUUCCAAGAAAAUGGCUCUAUUAUUCAAGAGCAUAAGGACUGCCAAAAAGAUAUACAUGGAUAUUGGAUACUUUGCACAAAAAAAUCUCAAGUAUAGAGAAUACAGUAUAGAAGUAUAUAUGGAAGUUGUUGUUAUAGUUCCUAAAACCGCAAGGACGAUUGGAAAUAAUGGCAUUUUCUUAUUUGGGGAUACCAAUCCAUAUGGGUUUUCUCUGGCGAGAAAUCUUUGUGGUUCACUUAUGAAAGUGAACAGAACAACUUAUGUUUUUAUAGGCUAACACUAUAUAGAAUUUCAUCGCAGAGGCUAAACUU